rnacentral:lncRNA from 1 species
AAAAAAAAAGAGGUCAGUUAGUAUCCUCAAACUUUGUCCCCAGCCAGUCAGCAUUAGGGUUUUAAACCCUAAACUGAACUCUUUUCCUUUAGUCAGCAUUAGGGUUUUAAACCCUAAACUGAACUCUUUUCCCUUAGUCAGCAUUAGGGUUUUAAACCCUAAACUGAACUCUUUCCUUUAGUCAGCAUUAGGGUUUUAAACCCUAAACUGACUCUUUUCCUUAGUUAGCAUUAGGGUUUUAAACCCAAACUAGAACUUUUUCAUUCAGUCAGCAUUAGGGUUUAAAACCCUAAACUGAACUCUUUUCCUUAGUCAGCAUUAAGGUUUAAACCCUAAACUGAACUUUUUUCAUUCAGUCAGC